rnacentral:rRNA from 1 species
ACUCCUACGGGAGGCAGCAGUGAGGAAUAUUGGUCAAUGGGACGCAAGUCUGAACCAGCCAUGUCGCGUGCAGGAAGACUGCCCCUAUGGGUUGUAAACUGCUUUUUAUACGGGAAGAAAUAUAGCUACGUGUAGUUAUUUUGCCGGUACCGUAUGAAUAAGCAUCGGCUAACUCCGUGCCAGCAGCCGCGGUAAUACGGAGGAUGCGAGCGUUAUCCGGAUUCAUUGGGUUUUAAAGGGUGCGUAGGCGGAAGUAUAAGUCAGGGGUGAAAGUUUGUGGCUCAACCAUAAAAUUGCCUUUUGAUACUGUAUUUCUUGAGUACAUUUGAGGUAGGCGGAAUGUGUUGUGUAGCGGUGAAAUGCUUAGAUAUAACACAGAACACCGAUUGCGAAGGCAGC